rnacentral:rRNA from 1 species
UACGAAGGGGGCUAGCGUUGUUCGGAAUUACUGGGCGUAAAGCGCACGUAGGUGGUUUGUUAAGUGAGGGGUGAAAUCCCAGGGCUCAACCCUGGAACUGCCUUUCAUACUGGCAAUCUAGAGUUCGAGAGAGGUGAGUGGAAUUCCGAGUGUAGAGGUGAAAUUCGUAGAUAUUCGGAGGAACACCAGUGGCGAAGGCGGCUCACUGGCUCGAUACUGACGCUGAGGUGCGAAAGCGUGGGGAGCAAACAGG